GAUGAACGCUAGCGGCAGGCCUAAUACAUGCAAGUCGAACGGUGUAGCAAUACACAGUGGCGCACGGGUGCGUAACACGUAUGCAACCUACCUUACAUUGGGGGAUAGCCCUUCGAAAGGGAGAUUAAUACCGCAUAAGACAGUAACUAGGCAUCUAGUAGCUGUUAAAGAUUUAUCGAUGUAAGCUGGGCAUGCGUCCAAUUAGUUAGUUGGCGAGGUAAUGGCUCACCAAGACGAUGAUUGGUAGGGGAACUGAGAGGUCAAUCCCCCACACUGGCACUGAGAUACGGGCCAGACUCCUAUGGGAGGCAGCAGUAGGGAAUAUUGGGCAAUGGGCGCAAGCCUGACCCAGCCAUGCCGCGUGCAGGAAGAAGGCGUUAUGCGUUGUAAACUGCUUUUAUACAGGAAGAAACGACCCUUGCGAGGGGCAUUGACGGUACUGUAUGAAUAAGCACCGGCUAACUCCGUGCCAGCCGCCGCCGUAAGAC
rnacentral:rRNA from 1 species